rnacentral:tRNA from 3 species
GGACCUUUAGCUCAGCUGGUUAGAGCAAUCGGCUCAUAACCGAUCGGUCCGGGGUUCAAGUCCCUGAAGGUCCAC